rnacentral:rRNA from 1 species
GAUCCUGGCUCAGGACGAACGCUGGCGGCGUGCCUAACACAUGCAAGUCGAACGGAGAAUUUUAUUUCGGUAGAAUUCUUAGUGGCGAACGGGUGAGUAACGCGUAGGCAACCUACCCUUUAGACGGGGACAACAUUCCGAAAGGAGUGCGUAAUACCGGAUGUGAUCAUCGUGCCGCAUGGGCAGGAUGAAGAAAGAUGGCCUCUACAAGUAAGCUAUCGCUAAAGGAUGGGCCUGCGUCUGAUUAG